rnacentral:rRNA from 1 species
CCUACGGGAGGCUGCAGUGGGGAAUUUUGGACAAUGGGGGCAACCCUGAUCCAGCCAUGCCGCGUGAGUGAAGAAGGCCUUCGGGUUGUAAAGCUCUUUUGUUCGGGACGAAACGGUUAAGGCUAAUAACCUUGACUACUGACGGUACCGGAAGAAUAAGCACCGGCUAACUACGUGCCAGCAGCCGCGGUAAUACGUAGGGUGCGAGCGUUAAUCGGAAUUACUGGGCGUAAAGCGUGCGCAGGCGGUUUUAUAAGCCAGAUGUGAAAGCCCCGGGCUCAACCUGGGAAUGGCAUUUGGGACUGUAAGGCUGGAGUAUGGCAGAGGAGACUAGAAUUCCUGGUGUAGCAGUGAAAUGCGUAGAUAUCAGGAGGAAUACCGAUGGCGAAGGCAGGUCUCUGGGCCAAUACUGACGCUCAUGCACGAAAGCGUGGGGAGCAAACAGGAUUAGAUACCCCGGUAGUC